CAAGUCAACUUGAAUUUGGGUUUUUAACUUAGAUUUGGGUGGCGGACGGGUGAGUAACGCGUAAAGAACUUGCCUCACAGCUAGGGACAACAUUUAGAAAUGAAUGCUAAUACCUGAUAUUAUGAUUUUAAGGCAUCUUAGAAUUAUGAAAGCUAUAAGCACUGUGAGAGAGCUUUGCGUCCCAUUAGCUAGUUGGAGAGAUAACAGCUCACCAAGGCGAUGAUGGGUAGCCGGCCUGAGAGGGUGAACGGCCACAAGGGGACUGAGACACGGCCCUUACUCCUACGGGAGGCAGCAGUGGGGAAUAUUGGACAAUGGACCGAGAGUCUGAUCCAGCAAUUCUGUGUGCACGAUGAAGUUUUUCGGAAUGUAAAGUGCUUUCAGUUGGGAAGAAAAAAAUGACGGUACCAACAGAAGAAGUGACGGCUAAAUACGUGCCAGCAGCCGCGGUAAUACGUAUGUCACGAGCGUUAUCCGGAUUUAUUGGGCGUAAAGCGCGUCUAGGUGGUUAUGUAAGUCUGAUGUGAAAAUGCAGGGCUCAACUCUGUAUUGCGUUGGAAACUGUAUAACUAGAGUACUGGAGAGGUAAGCGGAACUACAAGUGUAGAGGUGAAAUUCGUAGAUAUUUGUAGGAAUGCCGAUGGGGAAGCCAGCUUACUGGACAGA
rnacentral:rRNA from 1 species